rnacentral:tRNA from 1 species
UAGAUUGAAGCCCGCUGGAUUGGGUUUUUAGUUGUUAACUAAAGGUUUAUGGGAUCGAGGCCCGUCAAUCCAG